rnacentral:snoRNA from 1 species
GCGUGCAUUUCAUUGUAUUUUUUUCUCCUUUAUGUCAAGAGAAAAGAUGAUUUUGAUGUGCUAAACAAAUUUGGGAGAUAAAGUAGCAAUACCAUUGCUAUCAGUCACCUUCAGAAAAAG